UGUGCCCACAUGUUUCCCAAGGGGCCACAACCCUCGGGGGUGCCUGGUGGGUGCUGAAGUCGGGGUGUCCUGGAUGAAGUCGGCGUGCCCUGGGUGAAGUUGGGGUGUCCUUGGUGAAGUCAGGGUGGCAAGCCUCUUGGGUACUGAAGUCGGGGUGUCCUGGAUGAAAUUGGGGUACCAUGGAUGAAGUCAGGGUGUCCUGGGUGAAGUCAGGCUGUCUUGAAGUUGGGGUAUCGUGGGUGAGGUCAGGGUGCCCUGGGUGAAGUCAGGGUGUCCUGGGUGAAGUCAGGGUGUCCUUGGUGAAGUCUGGGUGUCCUGGAUGAAGUCAGGGUGCCCUGGGUGAAGUUGGGGUGUCCUGGGUGAAGUCGGGGUGCCCUGGGUGAAGUCGGGGUGCCCUGGGUGAAGUUGGGGUGCCCUGAGUGAAGUCGGGGUGCCCUGGGUGAAGUCCCCGUGUCACUGGACCCACCCGUCUACCACCAGCCCCCGCCCGGGCGCCUCCUCCCCCCGCCAAGCUCCGGCUGCACCUGCCUGGCUCCUCCCCACCGGGCGCUGUCGGCCUUCCCACCUGUCUGUACGGGGGUCACCCUAUGUUGCCCUGCCUCCCAGCAGGGGCCCUUGACAUCCAGCCUCCCCCAAGCAGAGAGCAGUGAUGGGAAAGUGAAGGUCAUCCUUGAGCUUGAAGAUGCUCGAGGUCGUCCUGAAUCAGGCAUGGUCCUCCCUAAAGGAGCUGCCCGCUGGGCCAAGUCUGAGCAGUCAGCACGCCAUCCUA
ensembl:lncRNA